GGGCGCGUAGCUCAGUUGGUAGAGCGUCGGACUUUUAAUCCGCAGGUCCUGGGUUCGAGUCCCAGCGCGCUCACCA
rnacentral:tRNA from 1 species